UACGUAGGGUGCGAGCGUUGUCCGGAAUUAUUGGGCGUAAAGAGCUCGUAGGCGGUUUGUCGCGUCGACUGUGAAAACCUGGGGCUUAACUCUGGGCCUGCAGUCGAUACGGGCGGACUUGAGUUCGGUAGGGGAGACUGGAAUUCCUGGUGUAGCGGUGAAAUGCGCAGAUAUCAGGAGGAACACCGGUGGCGAAGGCGGGUCUCUGGGCCGAUACUGACGCUGAGGAGCGAAAGCGUGGGGAGCGAACAGG
rnacentral:rRNA from 1 species